rnacentral:misc_RNA from 1 species
UUAAGUAGACUCUAAAGGAGAGUUUAGAAUAGCAGAAUGGGUGAAGAAUUUCCAGAAAAGCUUAUUUCUACUGUGAAUUGUAAACAAGGAGCUGUGAGAGCCGUUAGGUUUAAUGUUGGAGGUGACUACUGUUUGACUUGUGGUAGUGAUAAGUCGGUGAGGCUUUGGAAUCCUCACAGAGGAAUUGCCUUAAAGACAUACACGGGCCAUGGAUAUGAAGUACUGGAUGCACAGUCCUCUGGUGAUAACAGUCAGAUCUGCUCAGGAGGGAUGGACAAAACUGUCAUGUUGUUUGAUGUGGCUACAGGGAAGGCUGUACGCAAGUACAGAGGUCAUGCAGGAACUGUGAACUGUGUUAAAUUCAAUGAAGAAUCAACACUGAUCCUGUCUGGGUCCAUUGACAGCACAGUCCGCAUCUGGGAUUGUCGUACAAAGAAGAUGGAGCCUAUCCAGAUUUUGGAUGAAGCUAAAGAUGGAGUUACCUCCCUUCAAGUGUCAGACAAGGAGAUCCUAACUGGAUCAACUGAUGGAAGGAUCAGGAGAUAUGACCUCCGUGUCGGCAAAUUGUCUGUGGACUUUAUAGGAGCACCUGUGACAUGUGUUAAUUUCACAAGAGACAGUCAGUGUAUCCUGACCAGUACACUAGACAGCAGCAUCAAACUAAUGGACAAGGACACAGGCGAAAUGCUCGCUGAGUACAAGGGUCACAAGAACAAUAACUACAAACUGGACAGCUGCCUGAAUGUGGAGGACACCCAUGUCCUCAGCGGCUCAGAGGACGGCAAUGUUUACAUCUGGGGCCUAGUCGAGGCUAAAGUGUUGAAGAAGUUGACUCAUGAAUCGGACAAGGCUAUACAUUCCCUUGCAUUCCAUCCCGAGGAAAAAUGUCUCCUGACUGCCAGCAUGGACAAGAUGUAUGUGUGGAAGUCCAAAUAUGCCCAGAGCAGGGACACUUGACCCGCUAGUGAUAACCCCUACCUAAGCUGGAAAUGUGGUUCUGUCAAGGAAUGUGGUACUGUCAAGGAAUGUGGUACUGUCAAGAAAUGUGGUACUGUCAAGGAAUGUGGUACUGUCAAGGAAUGUGGUACUGUCCACUUACUGCUGGAAAUCAAGGUAUUCAGGACACUUGACAUGAAAGUCGUACUGUACACUAACAACUGGAAACAGAAACCAAGGUACUCGGAACACUUGACAUGAAAGUCGUACUAUUAACUAACAACUGGAAACCAAGGUACUCGGGACACUUGACAUGAAAGUCGUACUGUACACCAACAACUGGAAACAGAAACCAAGGUACUCAGGACACUUGACAUGAAAGUCGUACUAUUAACUAACAACUGGAAUCCAAGGUACUCGGAACACUUGACAUGAAAGUCGUACUGUACACUAACAACUGGAAACCAAGGUACUCUGGACAUGGAAGUCGUACUGCAUUCUAUUUGCAGGAAAUCAAGUUACACUUACUUUGUACGCUUACCUGUGAGUGAUACGGUCUGCUACCAUAUAGAAAUAGAUGUAGUCUGGACAGUUGACUGGUAAUUGGUACUGUCCUCUUACAACUCGAAAUAAAGAUAGUCAUGGCAUUUAUUCUGAUUUAAACCGCUUACACUUGACUGGAAAGCAGGAUUGCUCGCCAAAAUGAAUCUCAAAUUAUGACUUUUUGGGACACUUGACAAGCAGGUAAUAAUACUGACAACCAGUGUCAUCCUUGAUACUCCAAAGGAUACGCUCACUCACGCUCUCUGCACCCCUCAAAUAUGUCAUAGCAACAUUGAAGGCACACAGCUAGUUAUUUGAUUAGUCUCGGGUAAAACAAUCUGACCAAUUGCUUAGCUGAUACCUGUCCUUUGAAGAUUACAUAGGAACGAAACCUGACUUCAAAGCCAGUCAAAAUUAUUUUGAUGUACAUCAAAGGAUCAAGCUAGUCUUCUUGUCUAGUAGACAGUGGCGCACACUGAGCCUGACAUAUUCUAAGGGUGCAGAGAGUGUAAGUGAAUGUAACCCUGGAGUAUUGAGGAUGCACCAGGGUAGACAACAGGAGUACAUUUUGUACAUCCAGAAUGAAAAACAUACAGAACAUUUCAGAAAAAAACAUUUGCUGAUCAUUUGAAUCAAACUUAAUGACAAUCUGAAUAAAUACAGCUGUUCAUUAUCACGUACCG